rnacentral:lncRNA from 1 species
GUUACAUAUUUGUUUUUCGUUCCUUUUUUGUACAUAAAUAAGGCCGCUAGUUUUCUCUUUUGAAUUUUUUUUACAUCGUCAUUUCGGGGCCUUUUAAAGCUGAGUAUGCGGUAUGGGCUUUGCUCGUUGUUGAAGGCCGUACGGUGACCUAUAGUCGUAAAUUUCUGUGUCAUUUUGGUCUCUUGUGGAGAGUUGUCUCAACAUGGCAAUCAUACCACAUCUUUUUUUUUUUUGUAAUCAAUGAAUUUUGUAAAAUAUUUAACGAAUGGAGAAUUUCAGAAAAGGUAUCAAAAGUUCACAUGAAUAAUUUAGCGCUUAUCUGUAUAUUACUAUAUAAAUAAAGUGUAUUUACUUUCAAUUCUUAGUUUAGUAAUCGAUCCAUGGUGGUCAAUUGACAUAGUAUACAGACCCUCUCCAUUUAAUAAACUCUGAACAGAAUUAAAAUACACUUUAUUCGUACUAUUUGUUUGUUCAAAGUAUACAGAAAAACGCUAACCGGAAGUAUAAUCUGACUUAAAAUUUCGUCCAAUGACGGGACAAUAUCCGGAUGCCUUUUUUCUCGUUUUUCUCCCAAAAUAACUCAAUCUGAAUAAUC